GUUGUUCUUGUUAACUGGGAGUCAGAAUGAUCCAGUUCCUCAUACCUUUUUCCGUCUUACUUUUUUGCCUUAUGGGUCUCUCUCUCAGCCUUGAGGUUUAUCAGACUCCCUCUGAAGUCUUACUGAAACGUGGAGAGAACGUUCAGAUCUUCUGCCACCAUGAGAGAACUAACUACAGACUGAUGCAGUGGUUCCAGCAGUCACCGGGAGAAAAGCAACUAAAACUUAUAGCCUAUUUAUAUUUCAAACCACGUACAUUGAAGAACAUCUAAACGUGAGCGGGGAUUUGAGUCAGAACGACCCGAAGAAUGUUUCUCUGAACAUGUUCAACCUUAAAGGUCCAGAUCACAGUGCAGUUUAUUUCUGUGCUGCAAGUGAUGGCCACAGUGUUGUAGAUUCCCGUCUCUGCACUACAAUACCCUGUGUGACACAAUCUGUGUCACUGUAGUGUACUAUUUAACAGAACACCUCCCUCACACCUGUGUUGAGGUCUGGAUUUGAGCAGAUAUAUUGUAACCACAGCUAGAAUGAGUAGAACGGGCCUCCUCAUUCAAGUCAAUGAUGCCAUAAUGGGUGGACUGCCAGACAUCCUUUCUAGACAUUAUAUUUCUGUGACAACGUUCUGUCAUUCCAUCGCUGAUGAGGUCUCUUCCUGUCCCUCUUUGUCCCCUCCAGUCAGUUCAGAUGAGAUGUCAGUUAGUUGUUGAUGUUCAGCUCAAGACUCAACAUGAUCAGAAUAAUCUUACUCUGUUGGCUCUCAGGUCUCUCGCUCAGUGUUGAGGUUCACCAGACUCCCUCUGCAGUCUUCAGCAGACCUGGAGAGAAUAUUCAGCUCUUCUGCCACCAUCAGAAAACAGAGUGAUGCUGUGAUACCAGAAAUCACAAGGAGAAAAAGCACUGAAACUCAUUGGAUAUUUGAAUGUUAAUUCUCCAACCAUUGAGAGUUCAUAUGAAGAGCAUUUCAAUAUGAGUGGGGAUUUGGGUGGAGCCGGCCCAAAGAAUGCCUCUCUGAACAUGUUCAACUUGAGACAACCACAAUACAGUGCAGUGUAUUUCUGUGCUGCUAGUAAGGCACAGUGUUGCAGAUUCCCCUGUCUACACUACAAAAACCUUCUCUCAUUCACUGUCUCACUAGAUUAUAAUGAAGCAACACCUGCACUGAGGUCUGGA